CUUAUAGCUGAUUUUUUUUCCCCAGUGUUACUGAUCUACUUGGUGAACUGGAUGUCAUCUCCCACACCGAACUGUCCUGACCCGAAGACUAAAACAAUCUGCUCUCAACUCUAGCUUGGCAAUGGAUGCAGAGGAAGCUAUGAAACAGGAUGCGGAGCAGCCCCUAGACACUGAGACACUGGUUGAAGGUGUGAGAACCCUGCUAAGAUCCCUUGAAGUCCGGCAGCAGCGCCUCCUGGCAAACAUUGCCAGCUGCGAUGAGCUGAUGGCAGAAAUCACCAGUCUUCAGGCCGCUCUCUGUGCUCCUGCCAGAACAGAGGGCAGCUCCUUGCCUGCACAAGAAGAGAACAAGAAUUCCUGAAAUGCUUAAUGAGCGGCUCACCUGAGGGCUAUUGAUGAAGGAAGCCACUCCAACUCUCAGUGGCUGUUCCCUACAAAAUAUACUUGCCCUCUAUUCCCUGAACUCUUUCCAUGCGUUUGGUGUGGUGUGUAAGUGCAUGUUGCUGUGACCUGCACUCUCAAUCUCAUUGUCUAGAAAUAAAUGACAUAACUGUUUGCUCUAGU